UACGUAGGGCGCAAGCGUUAUCCGGAAUUAUUGGGCGUAAAGGGCUCGUAGGCGGUUCGUCACGUCGGGAGUGAAAACUCGGAGCUUAACUCCGAGCCUGCUUCCGAUACGGGCAGACUAGAGGUAGGCAGGGGAGAGCGGAACUCCUGGUGUAGCGGUGGAAUGCGCAGAUAUCAGGAAGAACACCAAUUGCGAAGGCAGCUCGCUGGGACGUUACUGACGCUGAGACGCGAAAGCGUGGGUAGCAAACAGG
rnacentral:rRNA from 1 species